rnacentral:rRNA from 1 species
UGGGGAAUAUUGCACAAUGGGCGCAAGCCUGAUGCAGCAAUGCCGCGUGAGUGAAGACGGCCUUAGGGUUGUAAAACUCUUUCGCUAGGGAAGAUAAUGACGGUACCUAGUAAAGAAGUCCCGGCUAACUCCGUGCCAGCAGCCGCGGUAAUACGGAGGGGACUAGCGUUGUUCGGAAUUACUGGGCGUAAAGAGUUCGUAGGCGGACUAGCAAGUUGGGGGUGAAAUCCCGGGGCUCAACCCCGGAACUGCCUCCAAAACUAUUGGUCUAGAGUUCGAGAGAGGUGAGUGGAAUUCCAAGUGUAGAGGUGAAAUUCGUAGAUAUUUGGAGGAACACCAGUGGCGAAGGCGGCUCACUGGCUCGAUACUGACGCUGAGGUGCGAAAGUGUGGGGAGCAAACAGGAUUAGAUACCCUGGUAGUCCACACCGUAAACGAUGAAUGCCAGUCGUCGGGUAGCAUGCUAUUCGGUGACACACCUAACGGAUUAAGCAUUCCGCCU